rnacentral:lncRNA from 1 species
UCGGCCAUCGCCACGGCAGAAACUGGGGCCCGGGCCUUCCCCGUCCGUCCACAGGUCUCAUGGGCGCCCGGACUGGGGCUGAUGUAGUUUCCCGACCUCUGACACAUAGAAUCUGGAGAUUAAAGCUGCUCUGCUAAUAAUUAGGUUCCCACCUCUCAAGAUCAUUAGGAGCUUCUUUUCCAAUUUCUCUGUUUUGCAUGCAUUGGAAGGUCCAGAUUUUGGAUGAAUCUCUAUAAUGGAGAUUGAACAGUGUCACUGGCGUGGGGGUUACCUUCCCACUAUGUCCCCCAGAAGACAUGAGGCCACAGACUGCAGUGCCCGUGGACAGAGGAGCUGUGGGGAUGGAAGUGUGAUUGCUUCAUUCAAAUGCACGCCCCGGUGCGUGUGCGUCUCUUCUGAUGCAGCGCCCCAUGGAUACCCCAUCAGCCUGAGUCUCUUAAAGGCCUUUAUACACACAUGUCUACACAUAGGGAUUUGGAUUAUCUCGGGAUCCCACAUCCUCGCUGUCCCCUGUCCCCCCGCAACAUCCCCCACCAAUACCUUUCUGAAGUUUUCUAGUCCCUCCUUUUUGUUUGUGCUCCUUAAAGCCCAGCCCCAUGCCUGACUUUGGUUCCCAGUGAGCAUUGUACAUUUGUGGAUAUUAAAUCUUUGGCAAAGUCAUUUACCUGGGCUGGAAUAGGGCUCUUGGCUGAUUCUUUUUCCUAAACACCCACCCAAUGGGAGAGGCUGAUACUCAACAUGCAAACCUUGUGUUUUAUUUCUCCAGGCGAAGGGAUGUUGGAA